GUUGCUUUGGCCGAGUAAGUAAGGCGUGUGCCUACUAAGUACAUGGAGUUUUCCCAUGAGAGUUCGAAUCUCUCAGGUGACG
rnacentral:tRNA from 1 species